UACAGAGGUGGCAAGCAUUGUUCGGAUUCAUUGGGUGUAAAGGGUCUGUAGGCGGUCAAGCAAGUUGGGUGUGAAAUACCGUGGCUCAACCACGGAACUGCGCUCAAAACUACUUAACUAGAGUUUGGAAGAGGAAGAUGGAAUUCCCGGUGUAAGGGUGAAAUCUGCAGAUAUCGGGAGGAACACCAGUUGCGAAGGCGAUCUUCUGGUCCAAAACUGACGCUGAACGACGAAAGCCAGGGGAGCAAACGGGAUUAGAACCC
rnacentral:rRNA from 1 species